rnacentral:rRNA from 1 species
UACGAAGGGGGCUAGCGUUGCUCGGAUUGACUGGGCGUAAAGGGCGCGUAGGCGGUUCGUACAGUCAGACGUGAAAUUCCUGGGCUCAACCUGGGGGCUGCGUUUGAUACGUGCGGACUUGAGUGCGGAAGAGGGUCGUGGAAUUCCCAGUGUAGAGGUGAAAUUCGUAGAUAUUGGGAAGAACACCGGUGGCGAAGACGGCGACCUGGUCCGAUACUGACGCUGAGGCGCGAAAGCGUGGGGAGCAAACAGG